GACGAACGCUGGCGGCAUGCUUAACACAUGCAAGUCGAAGAUAGUGGCGGACGGGUGAGUAAUACGUGGGUAACCUGCCCUCCGUUUUGGGAUAAGCCUUGGAAACUGGGUCUAAUACCGAAUAAAGGGGGAUGGGCUCGCGGCCUGUCAGCUUGUUGGUGGGGUGCUUGCCUACCAAGGCGGUGCCGGGUAGCGGGCCUGAGCGGGUGACCGGCCACAGUGGGACGGAGAGACGGCCCAGACUCGGACGGGGUGGAGAAUUGGGGGCUAUUGCACAAUGGGCGAUGGCCUGAUGCAGCGACGCCGAGUGGGGCAUGCAGGCUUUCGGGUUGUAAACCUGUGUCGGUAGCCAAUGGGUAGGUGGAGAAGAAGCGCCGGCUAACUACGUGCCAGCAGCCGCGGUAAUAC
rnacentral:rRNA from 1 species